rnacentral:tRNA from 1 species
GGGCGUGUAGCUCAUUUGGUAGAGCGCUCGCUUAGCAUCUCUUCGAGACCAUCAAAAGGGCUAUCUUAAUGCGAGAGGUACUGGGUUCGAUUCCCAGCUCGUCCA